AUGUUUUCGCUAGGAAGGGUAAAGCCCACACUGAGAAAGACACUGUUUUCUCUGAGCCCUAGUAAGCUGCUUCACAUCAGCAGGAGGAAGCACUGGCUUUCUUACACAGUGAAGCACUGGCUUAAAUCUCAGGUAAGUGGCAAUCUGACUUACACCCUGAGGCACCAUCUAUUCUUCUGAUUUUGGAAAUGAUCUAAGGGAUUUGCUAUAUUCCAUUCCAUCUGGUGUAAAAAGUCAAGUUUUUUUGUUUGUUUGUUUUGUUUUGUUUUUUACCACAUGCAUGUUUGUGUGUGUGAUCCACAGUGAGGCCAAACAAACAAAAACAUUGGAGUUUGGAGCAGAGAAAGGUUUAUUGCAGGGCCAUGCAAGGAGAACACCUAUAUCGUGUCCCUCAAAACCUAGAACUCCCCGAAAGGAUUUAGCAAAGCAUUUUUUUUAAUGGUGGCAUUCAAGGCACGUGGGCACGUGGGAGUUCCUGGGCCAGGGAUUGAAUCCAAGCCACAGCUGUGAUCUGUGCCUGCGGCUACAACAAUUCUGGAGCCUUGAACCCACUGUGCCAGGCCAGGGAUUGAACCCACACCAUCAGAGUGCCCUAAGCCACUGCAGUUGGAUUCUUAACCCAAUGUGCCACAGCAGGAAUUCCUAGCAAAGCAUUUUUAAAGGCAACACGAGUGGAGAGAUUGAAAGGAUUGUGAUCAAUUCCUGCACAAUUCUCUGGUUGAUGUUGACAUCACAGGGUGGUUCACAUUAUCAAUCCUUAGGUGCAAGCAGGUUGUGGGCUACCUGCUCAUGAUCAUCAAGUAGUUUCUUCCACUUGGUGGUGGUUUUUAGCACCUGCAAAGACUCAGGAAAUAAGAAUGAGAUGCUAUUAUCCAUGGACUUUAGAGAGGGGCUACAGCAGAAGAUAUGGGGAAGGGGUCUCUCCCCUCUCCCCUCUUAGGAAGGCCCCAUAUGAGGUCCUGCUCAGUUGUAAGUUAAUAUUUUUUUAGCCUAUGACCAAUAUAUUCUUCAAAGACACACUCUUUCAGUUUAAAGUCAAAACAGAGAAAGAGCUCAAUAAGGUUAAUUCUAGCAGGAAAGAAUUAUUUCAUAGUGAAAACACCUGGAAAAAUAUCAUAUUUUUCUAUCUCCUUUGUUAAGUAUAUUUGGCUAAUUGAAAGAAGAGACUUUAUUUUCCCCUGAAAGUUUAAGUGUCUAUCAUAUCUGAAUAGAAGAUAAGACUGCUUCAAAUACAGUAUUCUGUUUGUACACAAAACAUUUCUCUUGAAAGGUUAGUAAAGGCAUGUUUUAGAUCCAUAACAUAAUGGAUAUAUGUAUAUAUAUCUAUAUAUAUAUGCUUUUUAUAAUGAAAACGUUCUAAGAAUUAUAUUUUACGUCAGCUCUAGUGUAAGUGGAGUAAGGGCAAUUUGCAAAUUAAUUAAUUGGAGCUGAGCCCUUUAAACAUUUUAAAUUAAAUCACAUGCCUUAUUUUUUCCCCCUUUUUUCUUUUUUGCGUGGAGGAGAUAUAAAUAUCACACCUUUUUCUUUCCCGCAACGAUAAAGUAACCAUAUGCCAGAAGACCUAAGGCCUUCAAGCCAUGCUUUAACACUCCUUGGAAACAUCUAUCCAUUCUGCCCAUAUUCACUGCCUAAAUCUCAAAUUAUAUCAACUCAAUUGAAAUAGUUUUUUUUAAUGUUAGUAUAUUUCUUAUUAAUUUUCAAUCACUUUCAAUUUUUUUGCAAAAUGAGAAAAUGAUUUGAAUUUUAAUGCAUAUUAUAUUCCUUAAACACAAAAUUCUUUAAACCAAUAAUGCACAGAGGGACAGAUGUUGUUUAUUUCUUCAAGGACCCAGAAAUGAAACAACUUCAAGAUGGCAUUUGGAUAGUCACCAGCUAGUCAGUUUUAAGUACGCUUCCUUCCACAGUGUUCUUCAUGCUGUAAAUGAAAUGAUAAACAUAUUCAGUGUAUGAAUAUUUAUUUAGGAACUACUAUGUGCUUGAUACCACGUAUAUGACUGACAUAGCACUUGCUUCAUGGGGUUUUUAAUACAUUGCAUUUGGAAUAAAAAUACUUAAAUUUUCA
rnacentral:lncRNA from 1 species